rnacentral:lncRNA from 10 species
AAUUCUUACUGGAGAUAAAACCAUACAAGUGUAAAGGAUGUGGAAAAGCCUUUAAGCUGUACUCCAGCAUUCUUAAACAUAAGAGAACUCGUACUGGAGGAAUGUCUUACCAAUAUGAAGAAUGUGGCAGUCUUUAAAUGUUCCUCAAUCUUUUCUAAUCGUAAGAUAAUUCAUAAUGGAGAGAAACUCCAGAAAUGUGAAAAAUAUGAGAAAGCUUUUAACCACACCUCACUGUGUUCUAAACAUAAGAUAAAUGAUAUUGAUGAGAAGCCAUAUGAAAAAUUAAAAUGUGGCAAAGACUUCAAAUUCU